CUGAACUUGAACAAAAUGAGAGAAAAAUUAUAAAAUUAUUUUAUAAUUUUGAGGAAGUGCCAGGCAUUGACAGAGACGACGAGUUGCUAUCCUUGGCCAGAUACAAGGGUAUAAUGAAUGGAAAGAUACAAAUUCCCUAUGAGAAAGGAGAAAAGUUCCAUACUCCAAAGAUGUUAUCAUCCGUUAUCGAGGGCUCCAUUUCCAAAUGGGAUGGCAAAAGGAAUAUCUCGCCUUUUAUGGAGGACCUACACAACAAAGUUAUCAUUGAGACGCUUAUUAUAAUUUUUAUAAUUUUUGUAAUAAUUGUUGUGAUUGCUGGAAUGAUCUAUUAUAUACUAAUUAUUAUAAUAGUCAUUAUAAUUUUUAUAAUUUUGAUUAUAUAGUAAAAAUAAUAUUAAUUAUAAAUUUUAUUUUCAUUUAUAUAAGAUAUAUGUCAAAAUAUAUAUAAAAUAUGUCAUUUGGGUUGAUUUUUAUAUAAAAAAAAAAGCUUUGUGUAUACGAAUUUAAGAUAAAUAAAUUCUUGUUUCACCCCUUA